UUGGUGGAAAAUAUUUUCCGGAAAAUAUUUUACGGAUUUUCCAGUGUUUGAUUGGUGUAAAAUGAAAUCCUAAGGGAAAAUGUUUUACAAACACGGGUAAAAAAGGCCCCAAUUUAUGGAAAACGUCUUACCGAUUUGGAAUCAGUAAGAUAUUUUCCAGAAUUUCCAGCGUUCUCCCUUCUCUACACUCUCGUUCUCCCUUUCAUUCUCCCUUCUCCUCUCUACACUGAUCUGGUUUCGUUCUCCCUUCUCCCUUUCGUUCUCCCUUGAUCUGGUUUCGGGCUCCUUUUCCCCCCUUGAUUUCUUCUUCCUUUUAUAAAUUGAUUUGGGGAUUUUCUGCUUGUUUUUGUCUGAGAUCUCUUGCUUGGGUUUUCUGCUAGUUUGGCUGUGGUGUUUGGCUUGUCUUGGGCAGACUUUCUUCGCAGACUUGCUUUAGAAAGGCAAUUAAGAACCUUGUUCUUGGAAGACAGCUCAAUUAUUGAGAAAUAUGGUCGAUGGAUUCAUGAGAUUGCGAUGAAUAAUUCAGUUCUUGAGACUUUAAACUUUUACAUGACGGAUCUUGUAAAAGUUGGUUUUGAAGAAUCCAACUUAUUGCCAGAAAUUGUCGUAAUUUGGUCUCUGUGAAAAUUAGUGAUUGUGAAAUUUUAGAUCUCGUCGGUUUCUUUCAUGCUGCUGCUGUUUUAGAAGAAUUCAACGGUGGUUCUUUCUACGACCAACCUGAUGGGUAUGCUGCUGUAACAUUCCCCUCGAGGUUAUGCCAUUUGGGUUUAACCUACAUGGGGAAGAAUGAAAUGCCAAUUGUGUUUCCUUUUGCACCGUUGUUUAAAUAAUUGGAUCUCCUUUAUGCAUUACUCAACACAGAAGAUCACUGCUUGUUAAUACAAAGUUGCCCAAACUUGGAAGUUCUCAAGGUUGAAUCACAAAACCAUUGUCCGUAUUCUAUUUUUUUUCAUUAUGUUCUUUAAUUAUCAAACAUAUGUUUUCUGAGUGGAAAAACAUAUUAAUAGUAAUUAAUUACAUUUAAUUACUUAAUUUUUUCAUAAAUUUUUCAUUUGCUGAA